rnacentral:rRNA from 1 species
UACGGGGGGAGCAAGCGUUGUUCGGAUUUACUGGGCGUAAAGGGCGCGUAGGCGGCCACCGCAAGUCGACUGUGAAAUCUCCGGGCUUAACCCGGAAAGGUCAGCCGAUACUGCGGGGCUAGAGUGCAGAAGGGGCAACUGGAAUUCUCGGUGUAGCGGUGAAAUGCGUAGAUAUCGAGAGGAACACCUGCGGCGAAGGCGGGUUGCUGGGCUGACACUGACGCUGAUGCGCGAAAGCUAGGGGAGCGAACGG